GACGAACGCUGGCGGCGUGCUUAACACAUGCAAGUCGAACGGAAAGGCCCCCACCUUGGUGGGGGUGCUCGAGUGGCGAACGGGUGAGUAACACGUGGGUGAUCUGCCCUGUACUUCGGGAUAAGCUUGGGAAACUGGGUCUAAUACCGGAUAGGACCAUGGUUUAGUGUCUCAUGGUGGAAAAAUUAUUGUUUUGGUACAGGAUGAGCUCGCGGCCUAUCAGCUUGUUGGUGGGGUAAUGGCCUACCAAGGCGUCGACGGGUAGCCGGCCUGAGAGGGUGGACGGCCACAUUGGGACGGAGAUACGGCCCAGACUCCUACGGGAGGCAGCAGUGGGGAAGAUUGCACAAUGGGCGCAAGCCUGAUGCAGCGACGCCGCGUGGGGGAUGACGGCCUUCGGGUUGUAAACUCCUUUCGUUAGGGACGAAGCCACACCUUUUUUGGGUGUGGUGACGGUACCUUUGUUAAGAAGCACCGGCUAACUACGUG
rnacentral:rRNA from 1 species